CCAUCCCUGUGUGUCAUUGUCACCUGUGUGUGACCCCUGUGUGACCCCUGUGUGUGACCCCAAGCGGCCAUCGCUGCCCGAGGGGGGCAAGGGACCGCCAGGGCUGACCCCGGGGGCGCUGCCCUACCCCCCCCA